rnacentral:rRNA from 1 species
UACGUAGGGUGCAAGCGUUAAUCGGAAUUACUGGGCGUAAAGCGUGCGCAGGCGGCUAUGCAAGACAGAUGUGAAAUCCCCGGGCUUAACCUGGGAAUGGCAUUUGGGACUGCAAGGCUUGAGUGCGGCAGAGGAGACUGGAAUUCCUGGUGUAGCAGUGAAAUGCGUAGAUAUCAGGAGGAAUACCGAUGGCGAAGGCAGGUCUCUGGGCUGACACUGACGCUCAUGCACGAAAGCGUGGGGAGCAAACAGG